GCUCAAAUUUAAAAUCUGGCGGCUUUGGUCGUCCGAGUUGUAUUCUAGAGAAGUGUUUUCCGCGUUGGACCGUGUAUAASUCUCUUGGAAUAGAGCGUCAUAGAGGGUGAGAAUCCCGUCUUUGACACGGACUACCAAUGCUUUGUGAUACACUCUCAAAGAGUCGAGUUGUUUGGGAAUGCAGCUCAAAAUGGGUGGUAAAUUCCAUCUAAAGCUAAAUAUUGGCGAGAGACCGAUAGCGAACAAGUACCGUGAGGGAAAGAUGAAAAGCACUUUGGAAAGAGAGUUAAACAGUACGUGAAAUUGCUGAAAGGGAAACGCUUGAAGUCAGUCGCGUUAGCUAGAACUCAACCAGGCUUGCUUGGCGUAUUUUCUAGUUAACGGGCCAGCAWCAGUUUUGACCGCAGGAAAAGGGCCAGGGAAAUGUGGCAUCUUCGGAUGUGUUAUAGUCUCUGGUCGUAUACUGUGAUUGGGACUGAGGACCGCAGCACGCGCAAGCUGUG
rnacentral:rRNA from 1 species